rnacentral:lncRNA from 1 species
UAUGAAAUCAGCAGUUACCUUGGAAUUUAGAGAAGAUGAACGCUUUUUAAUCUGACAGUCAUCUGAAAGGAAAGACAUUUUCACAUUUAAAGUUUUUGAGAAUUAUCUUAUGCGUGUGCUUUCCUCGCAUGUAUGUCUGUCUGUGCAGCUCAUCAGAUCCCCUGGAGCCAGAGUUAUGGAUAGCUGUGAGCCACUAUGUGGGUGUUAGGAGCCCUGAAAAGGCAACAGGUGAUCUUAACCACUGAGCCACCUCUCUCCAGCCCCCAUACUUUUCCAUUUUAAAAACCGCACACUCAUUUAUGGCAAGUAAAAGUCAAAAAGGGUUAGUCUCUAUAGGAGACUAAGACAGGAGGAUUGCUGAGUUCAGGGCCAGCCUGGGCUCCAGAGGCCAGCCUGGGCUACAAAGAGACACUAUUUGCUCAUUUUCUUUUUGUGGUACUGAGGCUCGAACCCAGGGGCUUUCUACAUGUGAGGCAAGCGCUCGACUACUGCACUGUGUCUCCAGCCCCACGAUCCCUGUCUAAACACCAAGGCCCUUGUUUCUGCAGUUGUCCACAGUGCCUGCUAGCCUGCCGAAGACCGUCAAAUAUUGCUGCUCUCCAAAAGAGGGAGCAUCGCAAAAGCAAGAAUUCUGUUCAGAAAAGCUCACGCAUUUUACUCAAAACCACUGUGGGGCUGGAGAGCUGGCUCAGUAGUUAAGAAUUGUGGCUGCUUUUGUGAAGGAUACUACUUUAGUCCCUAGCAUUCCCGUGGUAGCUCAUAACCAUCAGAAGAUCCAGCGCCCUCCUCCUCUAGCCUCUAUGGGCACUGCAUACACAUACAUACUGCAGUCAAGCUGUCAGGCCAAUAAAAUAUAAAUAAAUCUUUAAAAACAUUGU